AUACGUAGGGUGCAAGCGUUAUCCGGAAUUAUUGGGCGUAAAGGGCUCGUAGGCGGUUCGUCGCGUCCGGUGUGAAAGUCCAUCGCUUAACGGUGGAUCCGCGCCGGGUACGGGCGGGCUUGAGUGCGGUAGGGGAGACUGGAAUUCCCGGUGUAACGGUGGAAUGUGUAGAUAUCGGGAAGAACACCAAUGGCGAAGGCAGGUCUCUGGGCCGUUACUGACGCUGAGGAGCGAAAGCGUGGGGAGCGAACAGGAUUAGAUACCCUGGUAGUCCACGCCGUAAACGGUGGAUGCUGGAUGUGGGGCCCGUUCCACGGGUUCCGUGUCGGAGCUAACGCGUUAAGCAUCCCGCCUGGGGAGUACGGCCGCAAGGCUAAAACUCAAAGAAAUUGACGGGGGCCCGCACAAGCGGCGGAGCAUGCGGAUUAAUUCGAUGCAACGCGAAGAACCUUACCUGGGCUUGACAUGUUCCCGACGGUCGUAGAGAUACGGCUUCCCUUCGGGGCGGGUUCACAGGUGGUGCAUGGUCGUCGACAGCUCGUGUCGUGAGAUGUUGGGUUAAGUCCCGCAACGAGCGCAACCCUCGCCCCGUGUUGCCAGCGGAUUAUGCCGGGAACUCACGGGGGACCGCCGGGGUUAACUCGGAGGAAGGUGGGGAUGACGUCAGAUCAUCAUGCCCCUUACGUCCAGGGCUUCACGCAUGCUACAAUGGCCGGUACAACGGGAUGCGACGCGGCGACGCGGAGCGGAUCCCUGAAAACCGGUCUCAGUUCGGAUCGCAGUCUGCAACUCGACUGCGUGAAGGCGGAGUCGCUAGUAAUCGCGAAUCAGCAACGUCGCGGUGAAUGCGUUCCCGGGCCUUGUACACACCGCCCGUCAAGUCAUGAAAGUGGGCAGCACCCGAAGCCGGUGGCCUAACCCCUUGUGGGAUGGAGCCGUCUAAGGUGAGGCUCGUGAUUGGGACU
rnacentral:rRNA from 1 species